CCUACGGGUGGCAGCAGUGAGGAAUAUUGGUCAAUGGACGCAAGUCUGAACCAGCCAUGCCGCGUGCAGGAAGACGGCUCUAUGAGUUGUAAACUGCUUUUGUACGAGGGUAAACGCAGAUACGCGUAUCUGUCUGAAAGUAUCGUACGAAUAAGGAUCGGCUAACUCCGUGCCAGCCGCCGCGGUAAUACGGAGGAUUCAAGCGUUAUCCGGAUUUAUUGGGUUGAAAGGGUGCGUAGGCGGUCGGAUAAGUUAGAGGUGAAAUCCCGAGGCUCAACUUCGGAAUUGCCUCUGCUACUGGUCGGCUAGAGAGUAGUUGCGGUAGGCGGAAUGUAUGGUGUAGAGGUGAAAUGCUUAGAGAUCAUACAGAGCACCGAUUGCGAAGGCAGCUUACCAAGCUACUUCUGACGUUGAGGCACGAAAGCGUGGGGAGCAAACAGGAUUAGAUACCCUGGUAGUC
rnacentral:rRNA from 1 species